rnacentral:miRNA from 1 species
GAGUAAGUUGUCAAUUGUAGGAAG